UACGGAGGAUGCGAGCGUUAUCCGGAUUUAUUGGGUUUAAAGGGUGCGUAGGCGGGUUAUCAAGUCAGCGGUAAAAUCGUGGAGCUCAACUCCAUCCAGCCGUUGAAACUGAUGAUCUUGAGUGGGCGAGAAGUAUGCGGAAUGCGUGGUGUAGCGGUGAAAUGCAUAGAUAUCACGCAGAACUCCGAUUGCGAGGGCAGCAUACCGGCGCCCGACUGACGCUGAAGCACGAAAGCGUGGGUAUCGAACAGG
rnacentral:rRNA from 1 species